rnacentral:rRNA from 1 species
UACGUAGGGCGCAAGCGUUGUCCGGAAUUAUUGGGCGUAAAGAGCUCGUAGGCGGUUUGUCGCGUCGGAUGUGAAAGCCCGGGGCUUAACUCCGGGUCUGCAUUCGAUACGGGCAGACUAGAGUGUGGUAGGGGAGAUCGGAAUUCCUGGUGUAGCGGUGAAAUGCGCAGAUAUCAGGAGGAACACCGAUGGCGAAGGCAGUUCUCUGGGCCGUAACUGACGCUGAGGAGCGAAAGCGUGGGGAGCGAACAGG